GGGUGGUUUGACGAAUGCCGUGCAGGUUAGAGUUGUAUGUGUGCGUUCGACUUCAGUGCGGUUUCCUCCCGGGUAAAUCUGUUUCGCUUGCGGCUGACUUAGAGGAGUCUUAUUCCCAGCAGGAAACCCAACUUCUGGGCAGAACAAUGACUGGCAACUCACCGCAAAUAGAAAUAUGUCCCUACUGCAAAAAGCAGUUUAAACGUCUAAAGUCUCAUCUGCCUCACUGUAAGAUGGCGGGUAGUGAAGAUUCAAGAGCAGCUCUGCCUCUCCUCAGAAAAGUCUGUGAUUCUGUUACAUCUGAAUUGCUAAAUGCUGAGAAAAAGAAAUGGCAGCUCAAAAGCUUAGAAACUAUUCCCAAAGAAGAAAGCAAAAAGAGUAAAACUGACUUGGUCAGAAAAAAAGAAAGAAGAAAAAACAUUGGAGUAGCUGGAACAGUAGUAAGCAUCAGUUUGCCUGCAGAUAAAGAUAUAGAAAAGCAAAUUAAAAGUGCUAGUGAAAAGUCUUCCCAAACAAGUGAGAAUAAACAAAGAACUUCAGAAGAGCUUCCAGCACUGGUAGAUAAGAAGCUGUUUCCAAAAAUAAAACUUCCAAAGAAGUUAUCCACAGUCCAAAAAACCAGAGGAGCCUCUUUAGCUAAAGAAGAGAUUGUAUCUGGUCUUAGUUUAGAAUCACUGAUACGGAGUGGAAAAGCCACUUCAGAAUCACAUCAGAAACCCUGUGCAAAGCAGAAACAAAACAUAGAGUCACCUGUAGAGCAGAAUGUGUCCCUUUCAACUGAUUAUAUCAUCGAGAGUCUUCAACCAAUUCAUCAAAGACUUGGUGAUAAAAUAGAACAAAUCACUACAACUCAUGAUCAUGUGAGAGCAUUAGAAAACAGAUGUGAAUCCUCUGUUCAUAAUAGCCCAUUAAAUGAAGCUAUCCUUGAUAACAGUGAGACAGGACAAUGGCCUCUGAAAUCAUUGUCAGGAGCAGAGAUUGCCUUGGCCAACAGGCAACAAAUUGUUACGGACAGUGUAGACAAGAAGAGCAUUUUAGAACUUGAACUUACAGGAAAUGUUGGGAAUGGAGAGACAGGAAAUAACAAGACCACAAUUAAAGCAUGCACAUCAGAGGACCAUGUUAUAGACAGCUGUAGAAGGGUUUCCAGAGGUCCAGUUCACUUGUUUAAAAGUAAGUUAGAUGCAAAUUCUUUAUUUGUCAAAGCAGAGGAUUAUCCUAAGGAACAUCUUGUUUAUCCAGAUCCUAAGCCCAAUGUGUAUCCCACAUUCACAGAAGCUCUCAGAGAAAUGAGAGAUGAUAAAACAUCUAAUAAUUGCUUAAGUGGUUUGGAGAAAAAUACUGAUUUAUGCUCAAGGACUACUGUGACAAAAGAAGGUAAAAACUCAGUGAUGGGUUUAAGAAAACCCUCACUCCAAGAUUUAGAAAUGACUACUUCCCAUUGGUGUACAUCUCCAGAACAAGGCAUACAACUAUCUUCAUUGGGAUUGGAGUGGUUCUCGGAACUGUAUCCCAAUUAUCACAGGCUGGGCUUAUUUUUAGAGAGAGAACCACGGUGGGAUACCACAAUACCAGAAGCUCACAUUCUACCUUGUGACACUCACAAAGUUCCUCUGGCAGAAAAGUAUCUGAAGGACGUAAAACUCUGGAAUAUGUCCACCUGGCUAGGCCUGCGUGAUUUGUCUCCACAGGGGAUGCUUGGAGCAACAUUCAGAGCCUGGAAUGGAUACUGCAACAGGAACAUCAGUGUGAAAAAGUAUGGAUUGCCUGGGAUUUCUCUUCUGCUGCUGGGCUGGUGUACCCUCAGCUAUGCCUGGAGCCAUGAUCACAUUAAAUUUAAUCGUUGGCGGAAAUACCCUGAUGAAGAUGCAACAGUAUAAAUAUAAGGCAUGUCUGUGCUGCUCGAUCAUGGAGCUUGCCAUGGAUCCGGUCCAGUAAAGUCAAUAUUACCAGUCUUGCUGCAGAAGCUACAUGAAAGUAUUUUGACUAGUAACUUGACACUUUAGAAAAGCUUAUUAUUUUGCUCAGGCAACAUAUCAGCCACUUCCUUGGUAUUAAAUCUUGAAGAACGAGAGAACACUUGGGUCCAGAUGACCUCUUCCAGCAGCUUCCUGUAGAUAUUAAAUAAGAAGAUGCUUCCAGAGGAUUCUGUCUUGUCUCCAAGACAACCAAAGCAGUUCAUAUUGCAACUGAUAGCCCAGCUGAAAUGGGUUCAUUUCAGCCCAGAUAAUCGGUAUUCAGAUAAAGAUUUGAGACAAAUUUAUUUUGGGAAGCAUAGAAUCCAUCUUCAGAAACAGAAAAAAACAUCAUUUUUCGCUGUAUUUGAAGGUAACACAGGGUACAAGGUAAGCUGUGCUGCACACACAAUUGCGCCCUCCAGCAUUUUAUUACCACCUACCAUCAGGCCUCUUGCUUGCUUCCCACUAGGUUGUCACAGCGCAUCAGUAUUAGCACCAGUGAUCAUCUUAACCACAAAACAGUGCGUGUUCGUCACAAAAUUUAGCCUUUGUGUCACGAUAUUUGGUUGCCUCUCUGCCUCCUUAUAUGGUCAGAUGGUUUUUCUAAUGGCACCGUGUCUGAUUCAUUGAGAAAGAAAAUGACUAGGCAAGAUAGCCAGGGAGUUAAGGCCUGCACCAAGCAAGGAUCACUACUCUCAGGGCACCAGCUCAGGGUAGGUGUGGCUGGGAAGAGGGAACUCAGGAGAGCCUCCAGGUGUAGUGCUUUCACUGCCAUCUGUUAGCUCAGAAAGAUGGUUGAUUCUGCCUCAGGGGUAUCUUGAAGAAUUUGCUGUUUACGUCAGGCCUCCCAUGCAAGGAAGAUGUGAGAAUAUAUGUGAAUCUGGCUCACUCCAUUGCAAAGUGCAGCAACUAGCAUCCACUUUGUUUUUAAAUAACCCCGUAGGGGUUAUUCAAAUAUAAAUGCAGUAUGGGGAGUGGCUGCAGUCUAGUGUUCUACUGGGAAGCAGGGCCACCUGUCCAGAAAAAAGGCAGUUUAUUCUGGCACAGAACACCCAGAAUAGGGAGAGCAAUCUCAAUCAAUCUCGUGGCUUUCUGUGACUUGCCACACCCAUUGUGAGUGUCUGUGAAUGAAGAAGGCCCCUCUUAGCAACCGUUAGGGGGACACAGGUGACAUGUUUUUAGAAUUCCCAAUGGGCCCCAGAGGUUGCCUAUCACUGUUAUAAGUAGUUUCAUACUUAAGUUGGUGGGCUGAUCAUGGCACAAGACAGAGCAGGUGAACUGUUUUUUUUCUUAGAGCUUUGCUAACACAAGAAAAGCAAAAAUAGAUUCAGUCAGUGCAACGUUAAACAUAUCCUCAAAUAAUCAAUAGCAUUACAGUAAUGGCUUUCAAGAUGUAUUACAGCAGAGAAGAAGUCACAUUAAUAAUACAGCAUUCUACUUCUUGAGAAAGAAAUCCAUACCAUUAAGUGGCUCAAAUGUCCUUUGAGCAGAACCUUGCCUGUAGAGAGAGAGAGAGAGAUGCACUGAUUUAAACCAAAGGAGAUCUUGUGUACUCAAAUGACUGGAUUUAUUUUUCACUUCAGAAUUAGCUGUGGAAACCUCACACCCUCAGUUAAUUGUUUGGCCUUUAUUAUAAGAAGUUCAGAGUGGGUGUGGGUAUGCGCCAAAUCCCAUCACUUAAGCAGUGUCAUCUGGCAGGACCCAGAGGACAGGCCUUCUCUGUCUCUGCACCUACCACAUGGAAUAGCAUUUCCCCCCACCCCACUACAGGAUUCAGAUGGAUCCGACCCUGCCUGCUUUUUGGAAGGCUCUCAAAACUUGGUUUUUCCCCUAGGCAGUGGUUGGGAGCUCAUCUUGACUGCUUGUUUGUUUGUUUUAAUAGUUUUUGGUUGAAUUACAUUGCAUCUAGCAUAUUUUAUUUCAUUUUAUUUCAUUCCAUAUCUUAUUAAUUUCAUUUCAUUAUAUUAUUUUUUUAAUUUUAUUUAAUUUUAUUAUUUUAUUUAUGUAGGUUGCCCUGAGUGACAUUUCAUUUGAGUGGCUCUAUGCAUUGAUUAAAUAAAUAAAUUACUUUUAUUGAUUAAAUAAAUAAAUUACUGUGAAUAGAUUUCAAAUAUCUUGGCUCUCUGCUCAGCACCUACAUCUUCCAGAGGGUCAAAGUGUGAAGCACAAGAGAUGGGCCAGGCAGAAGCCCAGGCCCACUUUUUCUUAAUGAUCUGGUGCCUUGUUGGCUGUCCAUGUAUAGGCCCUCUAGGACAGCCUUCCCCAAGUAUUAAUAUUCAGAUUUAUUAAAUUUCAGAUUCCAUAAUUUGCAGCCAUGAUGCUCUCAGAACAGGAAAGUAGUAAUAAUAACAAUAUUAAACCCAAUCAAUAGAGUGUCCUAAAAUCAGGGAAUUAAAAUAAACGUGAAGCAGCUAAAUGUUUUCAUAUGCAGCUGUUAAAUUUAAUUUUCUAUCCCGCCCUUAUUAUUUUUAUAAAUAACUCAAGGUGGGGAACAUACCUAAUACUCCUUCCUCCUCCUAUUUUCCCCACAACAAUAACCCUGUGAGGUGAGUUGGGCUGAGAGAGAGGGACUGGCCCAAGGUCACCCAGCCGGCUUUCAUGCCUACGGUGGGACUAGAACUCACAGACUCCUGGUUUCUAGCCCGUUGCCUUAACCACUAGACCAAACUAGAAAUACAUUUCCUGGAUCAAUCUUCAGGCUGACAAUCAGACAGAAAGAACUGCAAAACUGUUAGCUUAUUUAUGCUUGUUUUGUAAAAUCAACAUCUUAGACUUUCUACUGUUAACUUUAAUAAUAACAUUACUAAAAAUUCAUCUUUCUAAAGCUU